rnacentral:rRNA from 1 species
UAAGACGAACCGUGCGAACGUUGUUCGGAAUCACUGGGCUUAAAGGGCGCGUAGGCGGGUCUGCAGGUCCGGGGUGAAAGCCCCCAGCUCAACUGGGGAAGAGCCUUGGAUACCGCGGGUCUAGAGGAAGGUAGGGGCACGUGGAACUUCGGGUGGAGCGGUGAAAUGCGUUGAUAUCCGAAGGAACGCCGGUGGCGAAAGCGACGUGCUGGACCUUUUCUGACGCUGAGGCGCGAAAGCCAGGGGAGCGAACGGGAUUAGAUACCCCGGUAGUCCUGGCCCUAAACGAUGGGAACUAGGCAGCGGACUAACAUGGGUUCGCUGCCGAAGCAAAAGUGGUAAGUUCCCCGCCUGGGGAGUAUGGUCGCAAGGCUG